UCGUUUUACAAAUGAGGAAGCCGAGGUCCGGCGCGGAGCGGGGGCCGUGGGGGUGGGGAGGGAGGACGGGAAUGAUUUACCCAAGGUCACACAGCUUGGAAGCGGCGGAGCUUGCCCCGAGGCCUAUAAUACCCACUGCUUCUUACAACCCUCGGAGAUAGUACUCUUCGGCUUGUGCCUUGCUGCUCUGUGGCAUUACGGGUCUGGCCCUUUGUCCACUUACUGGGCAGCAAAAGAAGACCCUGAGUGAAGCAACUGAGGAGGAAGUCUUCCCCUGCCACUUGAUGGAGGAAUAAUGGAUGUUUCUGCUGGGCUCACAACCACAGGGAGCAGAGAGAUGAACCAAACAACACGGAGACAGCAGCAGCCCAGCAAGUGGGGAGCAGUCCCUGAGGCAAGCCAAGCCGGGGACCUACAUAGAGAUGGUGCGAUCGGGAGCCACGCAGAGAAAGGAGUUGCAUGCAUGAAGAGAGGAGCAUGGGAAGAAGGCAAUCCCAGACCCAGACUCAGUCCCUCACUGAAGUCUUCCAUCCCAAGGCCAUUGAGGAUUACCCUCCAGCUACAGAGAGAGACUGAGUCUAUGGCUAGAGUCAUUAGUUUGGAGGAUCCCGAAUACUCUUGGGGUGGGAGAUUGAAAGGAUACUUUUUAUGAAUGCUAUAAUAUGGCUGAUUUGAGUUCAUUACUUUCACAUUUCUUUCUGCCAUGAUUAAAUGCUUAUCGUUC